rnacentral:rRNA from 1 species
GAACCGUACGAACGUUAUUCGGGAAUCACUGGGCUUAAAGGGUGCGUAGGCGGCCUGGUAAGUUGGGUGUGAAAAGCCCUCGGGCUCAACCGAGGGAAUUGCGCCCAAUACUGUCAGGCUCGAGGGAGACAGAGGUGAGCGGAACUGAUGGUGGAGCGGUGAAAUGCGUUGAUAUUAUCAGGAACACCGGUUGCGAAGGCGGCUCACUGGGUCUCUUCUGACGCUGAGGCACGAAAGCUAGGGUAGCGAACGGGAUUAGAUACCCCGGUAGUCCUAGCUGUAAACGAUGAGCACUAGGUCGGAGGCCCUUCCACAGGCUUCCGGUCGUAGCGAAAGUGUUAAGUGCUCCGCCUGGGGAGUAUGGUCGCAAGGCUG